rnacentral:rRNA from 1 species
UACGGGGGGUGCGAGCGUUGUCCGGAAUCACUGGGCGUAAAGGGCGCGUAGGUGGCUUUGUAAGUUUGCGGUGAAAGCCCGGGGCUCAUCCCCGGGUCUGCCGUGGAUACUGCAAGGCUUGAGUACUGUAGAGGCAGGUAGAAUAUCGGGUGUAGCGGUGGAAUGCGUAGAGAUCCGGAAGAACACCGGUGGCGAAGGCGGCCCGCUGGGCAACUGCUGACACUGAUGCGCGACAGCGUGGGGAGCAAACAGG